UACGAAGGGGGCUAGCGUUGUUCGGAAUUACUGGGCGUAAAGCGCACGUAAGCGGAAUGUUAAGUCAGGGGUGAAAUCCCGGGGCUCAACCCCGGAACUGCCUUUGAUACUGGCAUUCUCGAGUCCGGAAGAGGUGAGUGGAAUUCCGAGUGUAGAGGUGAAAUUCGUAGAUAUUCGGAGGAACACCAGUGGCGAAGGCGGCUCACUGGUCCGGUACUGACGCUGAGGUGCGAAAGCGUGGGGAGCGAACAGG
rnacentral:rRNA from 1 species